rnacentral:rRNA from 1 species
AUUGAACGCUGGCGGCAGGCCUAACACAUGCAAGUCGAGCGGAGUGGCGAACGGGUGAGUAACACGUGGGUGACCUGCCCUGCACUUCGGGAUAAGCCUGGGAAACUGGGUCUAAUCCCGGAUAGUGUGGGAUGGGCCCGCGGCCUAUCAGCUUGUUGGUGGGGUAAUGGCCUACCAAGGCGGCGACGGGUAGCCGGCCUGAGAGGGUGGACGGCGACAUUGGGACUGAGAUACGGCCCAGAGUCCUACGGGAGGCAGCAGUGGGGAAGAUUGCACAAUGGGCGGAAGCCUGAUGCAGCGACGCCGCGUGGGGGAUGACGGCCGUCGGGUUGUAAACGACUUUCACCAUCGACGCGGUAGAUGGAGAAGAAGCACCGGCUAACUACGUGCCAGCCGCCGCGGUAAUAC